rnacentral:lncRNA from 11 species
GGGACAUGUUCUCAGGUGUGUGUGUUGCUGAGAAGCGGCAAGAUUAAAGAACAGCAUGCCUUCAGCUGCAUACUUUAAAGGCUUGUAAGCUACAUAAACCAUCUACCUCGAAGGCCAUUCUGAAAACUCCCCAUAGAGAGGUAUCCUCCUCCUGUCUGCUCUUGAGCAAUUCACUACUCAUGUGAGAAAAUCAUUAAAGAUACUUCAAAAAUAAACAAAUAACUACAUGAGAUACUACUCUAAAGGGAAAAAAAUC